CGAUGAUGCCCAGCUUGCUGGGCGGAUUAGUGGCGAACGGGUGAGUAAUACGUGAGUAACCUGCCCUUGACUCUGGGAUAAGCCUGGGAAACUGGGUCUAAUACUGGAUACUACUGUUCACCGCAUGGUGGGUGGUGGAAAGGGUUUUACUGGUUUUGGAUGGGCUCACGGCCUAUCAGCUUGUUGGUGGGGUAAUGGCUCACCAAGGCGACGACGGGUAGCCGGCCUGAGAGGGUGACCGGCCACACUGGGACUGAGACACGGCCCAGACUCCUACGGGAGGCAGCAGUGGGGAAUAUUGCACAAUGGGCGGAAGCCUGAUGCAGCGACGCCGCGUGAGGGAUGACGGCCUUCGGGUUGUAAACCUCUUUCAGUAGGGAAGAAGCGAGAGUGACG
rnacentral:rRNA from 1 species